rnacentral:rRNA from 1 species
CCUACGGGGGGCAGCAGUGGGGAAUAUUGGACAAUGGGCGCAAGCCUGAUCCAGCCAUGCCGCGUGUGUGAAGAAGGUCUUCGGAUUGUAAAGCACUUUAAGUUGGGAGGAAGGUUAGUAACUUAAUACGUUGCUGAUUUGACGUUACCGACAGAAUAAGCACCGGCUAACUCUGUGCCAGCAGCCGCGGUAAUACAGAGGGUGCAAGCGUUAAUCGGAAUUACUGGGCGUAAAGCGCGCGUAGGUGGUUAUGUAAGUUGGAUGUGAAAUCCCCGGGCUCAACCUGGGAACUGCAUCCAAAACUGCAUGGCUAGAGUACGGUAGAGGGUGGUGGAAUUUCCUGUGUAGCGGUGAAAUGCGUAGAUAUAGGAAGGAACACCAGUGGCGAAGGCGACCACCUGGACUGAUACUGACACUGAGGUGCGAAAGCGUGGGGAGCAAACAGGAUUAGAUACCCCAGUAGUC